rnacentral:lncRNA from 1 species
AAGCAACACACAAACAAAGGCUCACCCACCUUGGAACCCUGGCCGGCAACUCUGAGCUUACAGAGCGGCUUUGUAUUCCGCUUGAAAUCUGCCUCUGUCUCAACCCUUUUUUGUCCUGUACACGUCUCUGAAUCUGUUGAUAAAAUGUUGUGUUUAAUUGUGGUGCAUUACUUUCCCCAGGUAGAAAUUCAAUCCAUCACGCAAGAAAUCUACAAUCUACUGCUAUGCUGUAGGAUAAAAAGAAAGUCUCAACAAAACAGGCCAAAUGCCAAAGGGUAAAACCCACAAAUAUCAAGAAUGACAGGGUCCAUAACCCUUCCAAU